ACGGAGGGGGCUAGCGUUGUUCGGAAUUAUUGGGCGUAAAGGGCGCGUAGGCGGCCGAAUAAGUCUGACGUGAAAUCCCCCGGCCCAACCGGGGAACUGCGUUUGAUACUGUUCGGCUCGAGUCCGGGAGAGGGUAGUGGAAUUCCCAGUGUAGCGGUGAAAUGCGUAGAUAUUGGGAGGAACACCGGUGGCGAAGGCGGCUACCUGGACCGGUACUGACGCUGAGGCGCGAAAGCUAGGGUAGCAAACAGGA
rnacentral:rRNA from 1 species